CUGUCUCGCCCAUUCACUCUUUAAUUUUCAAAAAUAUUUUACCUUAUCUUAUUUUGCAAUUAUUAAUGUUUAUAACAUUAUAGUAAUUAUAAUGUUUAUAAUAAAAAUAACAUCAUCGAUAUUCAUAGCACUAGUAAAAAAUAAAUUUUCCCGCCAAUUCAAGGAAAAGUGAAAUCAGGUAAGGCAGAGCCAUCUAUGUGUAGAGACAUUUCACAAAAAAAAUAUAUAAAAAAUGAGAACAGCAUUCUUCCCAUUUUUUAUUAAUUUUCCCUGUUGGUAAUGGGUUAAUCCUCCUACAAUUUUAAAAUUAUGAAGGUCAUACUAUUGGGAAACAUACAUCAUGCAUACAUCAUCAUACUCCUAAAUAGAAUGCCUUAUAUUUAAGUGUUCUUCCAUGUAUAACACAUCUGUUUGCUUUACUUACGUGUAAAGUGACAUUUAUCAAAGUAGAACACAAUAAAGCAGUUAAGUUGUGACAGCAGUAUUUCUUACUUAAAUAAUUAGAAAAGUUAGUGAACUUCAGGGUGAUUAGACUGGGUAGAAUCCCAGAACUGCCAACAAAUAUCCAGUUCAGUUUUUAUAUGAGGAUAACUUUUUGGAAAUGUGCCUUUAAGCGAGCUAUCUUUUUGUUUUAGAUGGGAACUGUAUAUUAUGGGCCAGGUGGAGUUAUUCAGCGAGUAGAAGAGGAACCAGAAGACUCUGCAAGUGACACAGAUGAUGUGGCCAAUUUAGGAUGGUCACCAGCUGUAGAAGAGUUGGAAGGUGAUGUUGCUGAUGCUUUUGAGGAAUUCUUACGACUGCAACAAUGAGAAAACUCUGUACACAAGGCUAGAGUGUUAGUUUAAUGAAGCCUUAUUCCAUACCGCAGGAAAUACUUUGGUAUGGUAGAUAAUUAUCUAUACUCAUUUUACAGGUGUAAUAUUUUAUGAUCAGUGUAACUCAGCCUUACAGUGCAUUGAAGUCCCAGUAGAUUUUAUGUUUAACUAAAUGAAAGUUUCAUUUAAUCUCCAGGGAUGUAAAUAUUUGUGAAAUAUAAGUAAACAGGGCAGGAAAGUUCUCAGUAGCCUGAAAUUAAAGAUUUAAGUUCUUAAGGUCAGGGUGCACAUCUUUAUUGUAUUUUUAUGCUUCUCUUUUAUAGUAGUGGUUCUGGGAAUAUUAAUUUUUCAUCAGCCUGCAGAACUAAAGGUGCCCAACUAUACAAAAUUUAGACAGUUUAUGCAAGAUUUCAUAAAGGUUAUCCACCAUUAAAUUACCGAUCAUGUUAUCUUUAUAAUGGAGUAUUGAUAUAUAUUAUUCAGUACACAUGAGAAUAUUGUAUUGUACAGUCAGUCUUCUGUGUUGAAUUUAAAAAAAAGGAAAAAAAACCCUUGGGCUUAAUGAGGUAUACUCUGUUGUAACAAAUCUCCCGGUGGUUAACUGUCAAAUCUGCUUUUGAGGCUUUUUGAAUUCCUAUUUUGUAAAUGAGAAAAAUAUAUGUUGAUUACUCA